AGCACUGUUACACUGAACUGCACUGCAGUUAACAACGUCAGCUCCAUUUCUGCUAAAGAGACACUGAGCUGUAGCUCUGAACAUCCCAGAACAGAAACUCAAUUGUCAGUUCUUAAAUUGAUCAGUAGUCUAGUGGCGGCCUCUCCGUAUCUGCUGGUGACCAUCAUCCUGGGUGUAAAAUGUUACAGAGCUCGAGGUCAUCAUAACAGUCAGUAUGCCAUGAAAGUAAUUGAGGAAUAAGCACUUUGCUCUCUCUGUAUGAAAUAAGUUGAACACUGAACUACUCAGUGGCAAACAAAUUUUCUGCUACAAAGUUUAUAGUUGUAUAGUUUUCAUUUUUAUAAUAAUAUUUUCAUUUACACUCAAAGCUCAGGGGCACAGAAUAUUUUUACUGUAUUUAUGUUUGCACUCUUCUGAGCUGGAUCAACGUUGGAGCUUUUCUCCAAGAUUAGAGGUCACAACACUGUUAUGACUGCUGGGAAAACUCGGAUUGCUCUUCUUCCACUUCAGUCUCUCUGUGUCCUCUUCCAGCCCCCUGUAUUUCACCAGAUUCUUCUAUUUCUUCAUCGUAUUUUGCCAUCACUCGAUUGCCAGAUCUAUCACCACUGCAGUAUUCUGCAUUUUAUUUUAACUCUCACUGUUUACUUUUCUGUACUGUUAUCUGACUGUAACUGGAGGUCACACAUAUUCAUGUUUAUCUGUCCCUGUACACAAUCCCUGCCAUGUUCACUGCAGCUAAUAUUAUAAUGUGUUGUAAUACUGUAUACUAAAUGUAAUCUGGUUCAUGUAAUCUGAUCAAGUACUUGUGAACAAAGUCAGAGUAUCUUUACAUUUACAUAAACUGCUUUAUUACAUUAGUAGAUGUCACUUUGAGAAAACAUGAGUACUAAAUGUUUGCAAAAAAAUGUCUGGGAGAAGUGUAAAGGGAAAUAGAGAAACUGCUAGUCAUAUUCAAUAUAUAUAUAUCAAUUUAUAUUUUAUAUUUAUAUAUCAUAUAUAUCAAUUUCACAUGACUUCACACAUGAGCUUUU